UGAAAGUUGGUGGCUUAAGCCGGGUCGCGCCCCUCCGCUGGGUCGGACUUGGCAGUGACCUACCCCUGAGAAAAAGAUGCUCGCGCAUAUUUACGCUCUGAUUGGUUAUCAGACUUCCUGUGUCCAUUGUCAGUUGCGUGCUUAAACCGUGCCAGGUCAAUAGGCCGUUCAUAUGACUCAGCCUAAACAUUAGCACUUUAACCCUGAGCUGGGAGAGAGGUCCUCGUCCCGUCUCCUGGAGCAAAAGGACAGGAUUGCUGCUUUAUCUAAGGCGGGAUUCGGAGGAAGAAAUGACCCUUUGCUCCACCUAGAAACAGCAGGGUGAUGGAAAUGCAAUGUGUAGAAUUUGUAGAUAAUCAUUUUGACUGUUCUGUAAAGGGGCAGAGACGAAACCAACACUACAGUUCUGUGAGACAGGGACUGUUCCAACCCACAGAUAAAGAAACCGAGGCACAGAGGCCAGGCAACUUGUUUCAGGCCUUCACCUAAGCCAGUCCUGGAAGAAGCGAGGUUCAAACCCAGAGAGCACAGGGCCACCGUGUCCCCUGCCUUCCACAGGUGACAGUCUGUCUGGGGAAGCACCUCACGAGGUUGGACUGGGCGCCACAGCACAGCAGACCAGGAUAAGAGGAGCCUGACUAGGACAGAGGGGCUGCUCACUGAAGCAGCGGGAAAGUGCCUUGCAUUCAUCAACAGGCUCACAGAUCGGAAGAGACGGGGCCCAAAGAGCUUCAGAGCUUAUAAAAAGUGCACUUUGCUUUUAAAAAAUGUUUUUGUGUAAAAUCAAAUGUCUUUGAUUUUAUACAAAUUUGAAACCCAGGUGUUAUGGACUACAUGUUUGUGUCCCCCUCCCCAUCAAAACAAU
ensembl:lncRNA